rnacentral:rRNA from 1 species
AACGAACGCUGGCGGCAGGCCUAACACAUGCAAGUCGAGCGAGGACUUCGGUCCUAGCGGCGGACGGGUGAGUAACGCGUGGGAACGUGCCCUUUGCUUCGGAAUAGCCCUGGGAAACUGGGAGUAAUACCGGAUGAGCCCUUUGGGGGAAAGAUUUAUCGGCGAAGGAUCGGCCCGCGUUGGAUUAGGUAGUUGGUGGGGUAAUGGCCUACCAAGCCGUCGAUCCAUAGCUGGUUUGAGAGGAUGAUCAGCCACACUGGGACUGAGACACGGCCCAGACUCCUACGGGAGGCAGCAGUGGGGAAUCUUAGACAAUGGGGGAAACCCUGAUCGAGCCAUGCCGCGUGAGCGAUGAAGGCCUUAGGGUUGUAAAGCUCUUUCAGCUGGGAAGAUAAUGACGGUACCAGCAGAAGAAGCCCCGGCUAACUCCGUG